UACGUAGGGUGCGAGCGUUGCCCGGAUUUAUUGGGUGUAAAGGGCGCGUAGGCGGCUACGCACGUCCGUUGUGAAAUCGCUCGGCUCAACUGGGCGGGGUCAGCGGAUACGGCGUAGCUGGAGCAAGCUAGGGGGCAAUGGAAUUCCCGGUGUAGUGGUGGAAUGCGUAGAUAUCGGGAGGAACACCAGUGGCGAAGGCGGUUGCCUGGAGCUUUGCUGACGCUGAUGCGCGAAAGCGUGGGGAGCGAUCCGG
rnacentral:rRNA from 1 species